GGGAUGGGGAACUGAAGACCAGACUCCCACUGCCCCUCCAUCCAAUGCCCCAUUGACCCACCUUCUUUCCAACAGGUCUCCUUUACAGAAAGGGGCUUGGAUAAGGAGGAAAGACCAUCAGAAGAAAAGAUAAGACACUGUCUUCUCAUUCCAGUAAGAGCCACAUGCAAGGCAAGGUAAGAGAAUUCCAAGGAAACUAAGCUCAAAGUCAGAAGCAGCACUGCUAAACUAUAAUCAGAGUCCAGCUCAGAUGGGGGAACUCUAGGAAGAGAGAAAUCCAUUCCAUGGACAGCUGCCAAGAUAGAGCAGGACUGCUUGACUUUGGAAAAGAAACCAAAGGCCUCUCUGACACUGUACACAUCAGUGAAAUGAGGAGACCCAUGAUGCCUGCUGUGGGGGACCCCCAGAGGCCCACACCGGGCACAGCAAGCGGCCCAGAUCUCAGUCUCUAGGAGACCACCCACUGCCACUUCAGAAAAGCCUGGUGACCUCUCUGCACACUCCAUCUGAAGCCAUUUAUCACAACACAGCCCAGGUGUGGGAACAGUAGGCCUAUUCUCUGCUGACCUGGGAGCAGCUGUCUGAGCUCACCCUGGCUCCAGGGGGACUCUGUGCUAUGGUACAAACCUGUGCCGUGGCCGCCCAGAUGGCCUAUGUCUUUCCCACUGAGGGCUGGCUCAUCCCAGCCACACUCCCUGGUCCCUAGGAUCCGGCCCUGAAUGGAGAAGCUCAGAGCUCCUCCUAGGAAGAAAAUGGACCCACCCUUACCCUGGAGAGGAGAUAAAGGAGCCUGAUAGUGGAUCAAAUGAGGCUUUAGCUGGGGGCAC
rnacentral:lncRNA from 1 species